rnacentral:lncRNA from 1 species
UAAACCUAAACUUGUGGGAUGAAAACUUGAUCUGAAGUCUAAGUUGUUAACAGAUAUGAUAUGGGAAGGUUGAGCUGCUGUUUAUCUCUUCCUAGAGAUGCUAGAAUUCUAGAGAAUUUUAUCUUUGAAAAAUCUUUAAAAUGUUGCAUGAUGAGUUCCUGUAUGAUGAGAGUUUAAAUUCCUACCACAGCCAUAUAUACAUGCCUGCUAGACUUUGAGCCACACAUUUACUAUUUACUGCUUAUGAGCAUUGAGUGUGGUAAAGCUGUGUAGACCCUUAGGAGCUUGUCAUGGGGUUAAAUCAAGAUUCACUUGCACGUUCACUCACAUAUGCUACUUCUACUCCGGAAGUACCAUCCACAUAUAUCCACCCAUUUCCAUCUCCAGAACCACCCAAAAAUAUUCUACUCCUAAUCCGGGAGAGAAUAGCCAAAAACAUCUUUGUUUUUCCUCUGUGAAAUAAAUGCUCAAGUUAUUUUGUUACUACCACUUGCUAUAUUAUCUCAAGAGACGAGUGCUCUACAAAAAAGAAAAGAAAAGAUACGAGGAAAUAAAAAGGGGCAAGUGCCCGGAACCUCGAAAGAAAAGAAAAAGUGAGACGAGAGGUAAAAAUUGACAAGUGUCCGACAGUAGAAUUAGGGGUACAAGAUACCCACCUGAGAGAAAAGAAAAAAAAGAAGAGCAUCUCAUUCUCCUCACAAAGUUUCAGAAAGCAAGGAAGGUAUGUAUCCCCUCAAAAGAGCAAAAGUAGAAUUAGACUUUGACCAUUGUUAUCACCAUCAUCACCAUACACCAUUAAUUCGCCACACAUGCACAUCUUGAUUUGGCUUAUUGACUUGUUUCUUUGGAUCCAUGGUUUGACUAUACAAUAAAUGUCUUAUAAGUAUGUAUACCUUAUCUCCCACCUAUGAGCUCCAGAUAUUAAAGCCUUAUUAGAGUAGGGUGAGAGAGAAAACAAUGUCACUAUGCUUCAUACCAUAAAUACCACAUAUAUUGAGAGAAGGCAUAUACCAUCACUACCUUGGUAAGGAUCUAGAAAUACCACAAAAGAGAGUCAUACAAGGAAUCUCUGAGUUUUAUUUGAAAAUCUGCAAAAACUCCAGAGCUAUAGCUGAUCAAGAAUAAGAGACAUGGCACUUGACUAGACUGUUCUAUCUUUUAACUACUCAAGACAGAAGUGACGGUUACAAGUCCCAUGGUGAAAGGUAAAACGAAUAAGUUUUAAGUCUUGACAGUUUACUCUAACUCAGAGAUGAGAUCUUAUUUAAAAGCAUGUGUACCAUCAACUUUUAAAGGCAUUACAACAACUUCUGAUCCAUCGCUGAGAUUAUCCUUGCUCAGGGAUGAGCAAGAGGUAAGCUUGGGGGAGUUUGUUGAUGGUCCUUAAGUAUCAAAUUUAAUUAUCAAAUAAACAAAGAAAAGGAUCCAAAUGAAAUCAAGAUCUAGACUUAGGGUUUUAUCUGAAAGAAUUCCACGAGUUUUGAUGUUUGUCUAUUUCUGCAGGGGGUUAUCAGGAAAUACGGAAGAAAGGCCCACACGUCGGGAUUACAUAGAGAUAUCAACAUGCCGCGCAAUUAUCUUACAUCUAGAAGACUCCAGAAGCCACGGGAAGGAAGCGGAGGCCGAACGGGGCCAGGCACUGGGCGCCCGCCCAGUUGACCUGGGCGCCCGCCCCCUCCUGGAGUCCAAACAGGACUCUCUCGGGAAAGAUCUCCACCGACCUAAAGGAUCAAGGAUAACCGUUCAAUCAAUGUCGGUUUGAUCCAACGGCCCAUAUUCACUUGAAGGGACUAUAAAACCAGACCCCCUAGCCCCUAGAGGAGAGAGCCUCUCAACCCUAAUUCAUUGUUCUUCAAGGGAGAAGAAGCCUCUGAUCAAGAUUAGAGCCACCACAUCAAUUAGAUAUCUAGAUUAGCAUAGCUACAUAGGAUUAGAACUAGAAGGAGUCAAUCUUCGAUUGAUUUUCGGAUCUGUCAAGAGAAUUCUUUGUAAUUCUCUAAUUGUGCUUCUAAUUGUUCUUCUAAUCAUCUUUGUUCUUCAAUAUUAUGAAUAUGACUUUUUUCUACUUCAAUAUAUUGCUUAUGACUUUGCUCUACUUGUUUAUAUUUAAGAUUAUAUUGUUCUUAGUUUAUCAUAGUUAUGUACUUGGCUUAGUUAGAUUGGAUCUAUAUACAUGCUUAGGAUCGUAUAGCGUUUAUCCAUCGGAUCCAUGGGUAAAUGAUAGAUAUUGUGUAGGCGUGGUGCUUAUACCGUAUUUAUCUGCGAUUGUACCCAAUAUGCCAGAUCGUGAGGUAGUUCGUGAUAGUGACAGCUUCAUUGAUUCUUAUAUAGUCCCCCUCUCAUGUAUUGCGCUGGCAGAGCAACAUUAUUACAGGGGAGUGAUUGCUAUAUGUUUCUCAUUUACCUUGCUAAUAUCACUAUGCAUGGGCGUAGUCUUGUCUCACAAUGAUUGCUAAGUAUGCUUGCACUAACUAUGAUAAUGCUAGACUAUAUAGUUGAGAAUAACUUAGGAAAUAUUCUUGUAGUUCGUUCUAAUACCAUGCUAAUGACUUUCUACAGUAUCUUAUUGAGGUGCUUAUCAUAUUUAUAUGUGGCUAAGUUAUGCUGAUCAGAUUAAUUAUCUUUGUCACUAUUCAUUACUUUAUAUAUCUUUUAUGUGACACUUAUCCCUGUAUGAAAGAGUUAGAUAAAUGUUCUCAAUAUAUGCAAUGAUAGGUACUCAAUCUCAUAUUCUAUUCUGUAAUCAAUAUUGAUGAUUGCUAAUCCCUUCCUAGUGGUAAAAAUAUAAAUAACGAUACCUGGAAUACUUCCCAGUUAAAAUGCUGCAUCGGUAUUAAUCUGUGCGCUUGCAGAUCCCAUUCAUUCUUUAUUUAGAAGAGCAAUUGCAUAUUUCAAUACCGCGUCUCUCAUAUCAUGCUGGGGAUGACAACUUGGCUUAAGUGGUAUGAGGGAUAGGUUUGGCAUUUUUGGCACCGUUAUCAGAAUUAGAAAACUAAGUUUACUUUUGGUAAUGAUGUUAAGAAUACCCAACAGCUACCACUCUGCCAGGGAGGUUAGGACUUUUAACUCACCUGCCUUUGGUCUUACACCAAUGGUCCCCCGCACACUGCACUUCCUCCAGUUGUGUGCAAUUUAUAGUUGCCGGUCUUCCGUCCUGAGUCAUACUACUAGGCUUCGCGGUCGGAACGACUUAUCCGGCCAACUAAGUGUUAGGCAUGCGUUCAACAUGACAAGAGUGUUGACGAUCCUUAAGUAUCAAAUUUAAUUAUCAAAUAAAUAAAGAAAAGGAUCCAAAUGAAAUCAAGAUCUAGACUUAGGGUUUUAUCUGACAGAAUUCCACGAGUUUUGGUGUUUGUCUAUUUCUGCAGGGAGUUAUCAGGAAAUAUGGAAGAAAGGCCCACAUGUCAGGAUUACGUAAAGAUAUUAAUGUGUUGCGCAAUUAUCUUACAUCUAGAAGACUCCAGAAGCCACGAGACCGAAGCGGAGGCGAAACGGGGCCAGACCCUGGGCGGCCGCCCAGUUGGUCAGGGCGCCCGCCCACCUCUGGAGUCCAAUCAGGACUCUGCUUUGCGGGAAGUCUCCACCGACCUAAAGGAUGAAUCUAAACCAUACAAUCUAUGUCGGUUUGAUCCAAGGGCCCAUAUUCACUUGAAGGGACUAUAAAACCAGACCCCCUGGCCCCUGGAGGAGAGAGCCUCUCAACCCUAAUUCAUUGUUCCAUCAAGGGAGAAGAAGCCUCUGAUCAAGAUUAGAGCCACCACAUCAAUUAGAUAUCUAGAUUAGCAUAGCUACAUAGGAUUAGAACUAGAAGGAGUCAAUCUUCGAUUGGUUUCCGGAUCUGUCAGGAGGAUUCUUGGUAAUUCUCUAAUUGUGCUUCUAAUUGCUUUCUAAUUAUCUUUGUUCUUCAAUAUUAUGAAUAUGACUUUGUUCUACUUCAAUAUAUUGCUUAUGACUUUGCUCUACUUGCUUAUAUUCAAGAUUAUAUUGUUCUUAGUUUAUCAUAGUUAUGUACUUGGCUUAGUUAGAUACGAUCUAUAUACAUGCUUAGGAUCGUAUAGCGUUUAUCCAUCGGAUCCAUGGGUAAAUGAUAGAUAUUGUGUAGGCGUGGUGCUUAUACCGUAUUUAUCUGCGAUUGUACCCAGUAUGCCAGAUCGUGGGGUAGUUCGUGAUAGUGACAGCUUCAUUGAUUCUUAUAUAGUCCCCCUCUCGUGUAUUGGGCUGGCAGAGCAACAUUAUUACAGGGGAGUGAUUGCUAUGUUUCUCAUAUUCCUUGCUAAUAUCACUAUGCAUGGGCGUAGUCUUGUCUCGCAAUGAUUGCUAAGUAUGCUUGCACUAACUAUGAUAUGCUAGACUAUAUAGUUGAGAAUAACUUAGGGAAUAUUCUUGUAGUUCGUUCUAAUACCAUGCUAAUGACUUUCUAGAGUAUCUAAUUGAGGUGCUUAUCAUAUUUAUUAUGUGGCUAGAUCAGAUUAGUUAUCCUUGUCACUAUUAUUAUUUCAUAUAUCUUUUAUGUGACACUUAUCCCUGUAUGAUGAGUUAGAUAUAAUGUUCUCAAUUAUACAUGCAAUGAUAGAUGCUCAAUCUCAUAUUCUAUUCUGUAAUCAAUAGUGAUGAUUGACUAAUCCCUUCCCAGUGGUAAAAAUAUAAAUAACGAUACCUGGAAUACUUCCCGGUUAAAAUGCUGCAUCGGUAUUAAUCUGUGCGCUUGCAGAUCCCAUUCAUUAUUUAUUUAGAAGAGCAAUUGCAUAUUUCAAUACCGCGUCUCUUAUAUCAUGCUGGGGAUGACAACUUGGCUUAAGUGGUGUGAGGGAUAGGUUUGGCAUUUUUGGCACCGUUGCUAGAUUUAGAACUUAGUCUACUUUUAGUAAUGAUGUUAAGAAUACCCAACAAGCAUUUUUGGCGCCGUUGCCGGGGAAGGUUGAUUACCAAUCAGGAAUGGAAUAAAAGAUUUUGAGUUAUCAUUCGCAUCACUAAUAUGAUUGAGCUUAUCUAUUCUCUCAUACAGUUUUACCCCGAUAUUUUUCUAUUUUAUCUUAUGCAGGGGAAUGUAUGAAUAGAAGACAUCUUCCAGGAAAUUUUGUUGACAAUCCCGAAGCAUUAUUCAAGAAGACGAGAGCCAAGCUAAAGAAAUCAUCAACACUUCACGAAGAAGCUUCAUCCAAUCAAGAAGAUCACCGGAACUUGUCUUCAGAGUUCGAAGCCAUGGCGAACAAAUCAAUCCGCGAGUUCUCAGCUCCCACUACGGACAACAUCCGCACUGGACCUGCUGCAGAGAUCGAUGGCAACUUUGAGCUCAAGCCUGGACUUAUCAACAUGGUGCAAUCCAACCAGUUCUGUGGGAAGGCACACGAAGAUGCUAGUGCUCAUUUACAACACUUCCUGGAGAUUUGCAACACAUUCACCAUAGCAGGAGUUUCAAAAGACGCUAUACUACUUCGCCUCUUCCCAUUCUCACUGUUAGGAAGAGCGAAGCAGUGGUUCUACGCUACAAAGGAGAAGAAUACUACGUGGGCACUCUGCUCAACAAACUUCCUGGCUAAGUUCUUUCCCAUGGGCAAGACCAAUGCUCUCCGUGGGAAGAUUACAAGUUUUCAGCAACAAAAUGAUGAAUCUGUUCCAGAAGCAUGGGAGCGCUUUCAAGACUACAUCCUAGAAUGUCCCCAUCAUGGAAUGGAGAGUUGGCUAUUGAUGCAGACAUUCUAUCAUGGGCUCAGCAAAAGUGCCCGAGAGACUAAGGAUGCUACAGCUGGAGGAGUAUUCUUAUCACUUACUAUACCACAAGCCACAGCUCUUGUGGAGAAGAUGGCGUCCAAUCAAAGCUGGAAUGAAGAGAGGACCCAGACACGCAAGAGAGGUGGAGGUAUGCAUCAGCUGAAGGAGGUAGACAUGCUGUCUGCAAAGCUAGACCUGCUCAUGAAGAAGCUCGACGAUAGAGCUGGAGACAAGAAAGAAGUUAUACACAUCUACGACUCUCACAUGACUUGUGAGGAGUGUGGAGACACUGGACACUCAGGCAACCACUGCCCUGAGAUACUUGAGGAUGUGAACUACAUCAACAACAACAACAAUAACUACUACAACCGUCCUCAACAAAAUCAAGGUUGGAAUCAACAGAGGCCUAACUACUCAGGUAAUUAUCAAGGUAACAAUUCUUACAACAAUAAUAAUAAUUUUCCACCUUUGAGAGAGUUAGUGUCUAAUCAAGGAAAGCUAAUGGAUAAUCUAUCUAAGAAAUUGGCAUCUAAUGAUAAAAUACUAGAAAAUAUAAAUAAUAGAAUGGAUAAUUUCUCUACUGCCAUCAAGAAUCAAAUUAGCUUUAAUAAAAUGAUUGAAUCUCAGUUAAAUCAGAUAGCUACUGCUGUUCCUACUACUAACCCCGGUAUACCAUCACAACUGGAAGGAUUAGAAUCUGCAAAUCUUGUAGACGUGUUUGAUGCAGGUAAUUGGAGUAACCCCGUCACUGAAUUUUCUACUGACCGUCUGCCGGUCAAGAGAGGCGAUCCAGGACGCCCCGUCAUCCCGAUCUCCAUCGGCAUGGUGGAUGUCCCAGAAGCACUCUGCGACUUUGGCUCUAGUGUCAACAUUAUACCCAGGGUACUCUAUGAAAAAUUCUUUACAUAUCCUUUAUUAGAGACAACCAUGUGUUUGCAGUUUGCAAAUCAGACGAUAACUUUUCCAAAAGGAAUAGUGAGGAACCUUUGUGUCCGAGUUGGUACCUUGUAUGCACCAGCAGACUUCGUAGUGGUAGAGACCGGAAAUGAUGAGAGAGCACCUAUCAUCCUAGGGAGGCCAUUUUUGAACACCACGGGAGCUAUCAUCUAUGCCAUUGCUGCUAAGAUCAGUUUCUAUGUCAAAGGGAAGAAGGAGACAUUUUUCUUCAAGAACAAGACUACACAAAUUCCAAAUCAAUCCAGACGUGAAUCAAGGAAGAGGACCAACAGGAGGAACAGGAACAAGCAAGUGUGGACCGAGUCAGCUAAGAUGGUCACUGUAGUCCAUGGAGGCCAAGAUCACCAACUGAAGUCACCGUUUUUGACCAAGAAGGACGACCCAGGAAUGCCAAGCAUUUAUUGCUCCAUAAAUGGAUACAACUUCUACAAGACGAUUUGCGACACCGGAUCAGGCGUCAACAUAAUGGCCGCAGUCACCUAUCGGCUCUUGUUCGGAACCAUGCCACUAAGACCAACAUACAUUCAACUCCAGAUGGCAGAUCAGACAUUUCAAGAAGUUAAAGGAAUAGUAUCUGAUGUCCCAGUCAAAAUAGACGAUCACUUUGUCUACACAGACUUUCAAGUUGUUGACAUGGGAGAAGAUGAAUAUGAUCCACCCAUCAUCCUUGGAAGACCGUUCCUCAGCACCGUUAAAGCAAUUAUCUAUAUUGGAACCGGAGAAGUCCAUAUGCACUUCCCCUCAGAGAAGGUACGCCGUUACUUUACUGACCCUGACUAUAUCGUUGAAGAAUCUAAGCAGGUCAGAAAGAGACGCAACCGCAACCACAGGAGGCAGAUCAUCAAGGACGGAUGGGCAGACUAUGAAGGAGAAGUUGUAAGGUCAGAAGACGUAGAGUUUAAACAGAAUUAUCCAGAGGAGAUUGAAGCACCGAGUCAGGUAUGGAAAAUGAAGAUAACUAUACAAGAAGAGGAGGCGCUGCCGGAAGUACCGACUACGCCACCCAACGAACCUCAGGACGAUUGAGAAAAUGGAGAGUCCCGUUCGGAGGACUUAAAAACACCGAACGCCUUGCCAAGAGGUAAACUUGGUAGUUAUCCUUUCCCUUUCAGUUAUUUUAAAUAGUUUACUUAGUUAAACAUGCUCAUACUGUCUUAAAAAGAAAAUAAAAAUGUGAAAAAUAGUAAGCCCCAUGUGAAUAGACGAGUGGCAUAAAACCCAUACGUACAUUCACUGUGGUGGCAUAAAAAUAAAAUAAAUAUUUUUCUGCUUUAUAAAAUAAAAAUAUAAAAACAGGGAGUAAUAAUUAUUAAGGAGUCUCAAGAUGAUAAAGGCUAGAUAUUUAUGCUAACACUUAAUCAGUUCCACAAGCUUUGUUGUCUAUUUGAGCUCCACAGAAUUUAAGAAUUCAAGAAGACUAGCAGACGGAGGACAUUCUAAUCGCUGUCAGAAUACUGCUGACUUUCAACUACACCUCUGCCACCUGCUAGCUACAUCGAGAGAAAUUACGUCAAAAUUCAGCUUGGGGGAGAGCACCCCCAUUUAUUUCGAUAAGUAUUUUUAUCUAUCUUUAUACUUAUAUUAUUUUAGAAUAUUAAUACACAUAAACUAUGGGAAAACCAAAUAAAGAUUUUAUGCUUAUAUAUAUAUAUUACUUAGUGUGUUUAAUUAAUAAAUAAAGUGGCUAUGCUAAUCUGUAUCUAGUAAAACUUAAGCAUGGAUAUGAUGAAUAGUUGCUCUGCCUAAUUUGCACAUUUUAAGUUCUCUCUCAAGUUUAGACAUAACUAUUAUAAUUUAAAGCUUGCCCUAGACCUAAACUUGUGGGAUGAAAACUUGAUCUGAAGUCUAAGUUGUUAACGGAUACGAUAUGGAAAGGCUGAGCUGCUGUUUAUCUGUUCCUAGAGAUGCUAGAAUUCUGAAGAAUUUUAUCUUUGAAAAUCUUUAAAAUGUUGCAUGAUGAGUUCCUGUAUGAUGAGAGUUUAAAUUCCUACCACAGCCAUAUAUACAUGCUUGCUAGACCUUGAGCCACGCAUUUACUAUUUACUGCUUAUGAGCAUUGAGUAUGGUCAAGCUGUGUAGACCCUUAGGAGCUUGUCAUGUGGUUAAAUCAAGAUUUCACUUGCACGUUCACUCAUAUAUGCUACUUCUACUCCGGAAGUACCAUCCACAUAUAUCCACCCAUUCCAUCUCCAGAACCACCUAAAAAUAUUCUACUCCUAAUCCGGGAGAGAAUAACCAAAAAUAUUUCUGUUUUCCCUUGUGAAAUAAAUGCUCAAGUUAUCUUGUUACUACCACUUGGUAUAUUAUCUCAAGAGAUGAGUGCUCUAAAAAAAAAGAAGAAGAAAAUAAUACGAGGAAAUAAAAAGGAGCAAGUGCUCGGAACCUCGAAAGAAAAGAAAAAUGUGAGACGAGAGGUAAAAAUGGACAAGUGUCCGACAGUAGAAUUAGGGGUGCAAGAUACCCACCUGAGAGAAAAGAAAAAGAAGAGCAUCUCAUUCUCCUCAUAAAGUUUCAAAAGCAAGGAAGGUAUGUAUCCCCUCAAAAGAACAAAGUAGAAUUAGACUUUCACCACCAUUGUUUUCACCAUUGUUUUCACCAUUGUUAUCACCAUCAUCACCAUAUACCAUUCAUUCGCCACACAUGCACAUCUUGAUUAAACUUAUUGACUUGUUACUUUGGAUCCAUGGUUUGACUAUGCAAUACAUGUCUUGUAAGUAUGUAUACUUUAUCUCCCACCUAUGAGGUCCAGAUAUUAAAGCCUUAUUAGAGUAGGAUGAGAGAGAAGGCAAUGUCACUAUGCCUCAUACCACAAAUACCACAUAUCUUGAGAGAAGGCAUAUACCAUCAAUGCCUUGGUAAGGAUCCAAAAAUACCACAAAAGAGAGACCUGAGAGAAUCAUACAAGGAAUCUCUGAGUUUUAUUUGAAAAUCUGCAAAAACCCCAGAGCUAUAGCUGAUCAAGAAUAAGAGACAUGGCACUUGGCUAGACUGUUCUAUCUUUUAACCACUCAAGACAGAAGUGACAGUUACAAGUCCCAUGGUGAAGGUAAAGUAAGUAAGUUUUAAGUCUUGACAGUUUACUCUUACUCAGAGAUGAGAUCUUAUUUAAAAGCAUGUGUACCGUCAAAUUUUUAAUAUAUUGCAACAACUUAUGAUCCAUAGCUGAGUCUAUCCUUGCUCAGGGACGAGCAAGAUGUAAGCUUGGGGGAGUUUGUUGACGGUCCUUAAGUAUCAAAUUUAAUUAUCAAAUAAAUAAAGAAAAGGAUCCAAAUGAAAUAAAGAUCUAGACUUAGGGUUUUAUCUGACAGAAUUCCAUGAGUUUUGGUGUUUGUCUAUUUCUGCAGGGAGUUAUCAGGAAAUAUGGAAGAAAGGCCCAC